AAAAAGAUAAGCUAAAUAAGCUAAUAGGUUCAUACCCUGCUUAUAAAGGUUUUAAUCCUUUUCUUUUUA
rnacentral:tRNA from 1 species